GUAGCGCUCAGGCCCGGCCUGCGUUCACAGUGGAGUAAAAAAAAAAAAAAAAGCAUAAGGCUCUGUGCCUUGAGGCUCCUCUGGUUGGAUACGGAACUUCUCAGGGCAGCUGGGACCAACCUGAAGCUCCUUCAGCGCCUCGGAGAAUACUGUUAUCUGCUCCAUCUUGUUAGAGAACAUCUGGAGAAAAUAUCUGGAGAGCUUCUAAAAGGGAGUGGACUUUGAAGAAAAGAGAUGCAACGUGUCAUUUGGGAAAGCUGUGCCAGUGACCAACAUCUGCGAUCUUUGGGCUGCGCUGUGGUUGAAGGCAGAAAAACAAGAACAACAGCAAUAAAAGAAGACUUAGCACAAGCACAUGAACUCACAAGAAGAAUGCCUGGCUCAGAUAAGGUGGUGCGUCACUCUGU